UACGUAGGGCGCAAGCGUUGUCCGGAAUUAUUGGGCGUAAAGAGCUCGUAGGCGGUUUGUCGCGUCUGUCGUGAAAGCCCACGGCUUAACCGUGGGUCUGCGGUGGAUACGGGCAGACUAGAGGCAGGUAGGGGAGAAUGGAAUUCCCGGUGUAGCGGUGAAAUGCGCAGAUAUCGGGAGGAACACCGGUGGCGAAGGCGGUUCUCUGGGCCUGUACUGACGCUGAGGAGCGAAAGCGUGGGGAGCGAACAGG
rnacentral:rRNA from 2 species